CCUCGCAAAAUCUCUUUUCUAGUUACUUAUUCAUUAAUAUUAUUGUAGCUAUUGACACUUUAUUAUAAUAGUAUACUUAAUAGAAAUUCAUUAAUCAAAGACAGAAACAUACUUUUAACAUGCAAUCAACUUAACAUGCAUGAGGUUUCUUCAGCUUGAGUUAUGUAUUAAAAGUAUGUUAAUGCAUUUAGUAAGACUCUGUACUAUAAAA